AGCAGUCGCCGCGGGAAUACAGAGGGUGCGAGCGUUAAUCGGAUUUACUGGGCGUAAAGCGUGCGUAGGCGGCUUUUUAAGUCGGAUGUGAAAUCCCUGAGCUUAACUUAGGAAUUGCAUUCGAUACUGGGAAGCUAGAGUAUGGGAGAGGAUGGUAGAAUUCCAGGUGUAGCGGUGAAAUGCGUAGAGAUCUGGAGGAAUACCGAUGGCGAAGGCAGCCAUCUGGCCUAAUACUGACGCUGAGGUACGAAAGCAUGGGGAGCAAACAGGAUUAGAGACCCGCGUAGUCCCUGUCUCUUAUAC
rnacentral:rRNA from 1 species